rnacentral:lncRNA from 1 species
UUGGAGGAUCAUCUCUUCCAUUGAGCAGAAGGAAGAGAGCAGAGGAAAUGAGGACCAUGUUGCACAACUAAAGGAGUAUAGGGGUAAGAUUGAAGCUGAGCUCAGCAAGAUCUGUGAUGGGAUUUUGAGCCUUCUUGAAUCUCACCUCAUUCCUUUGGCCUCAUCUGCUGAGUCGAAGGUGUUCUACCUUAAGAUGAAGGGUGAUUAUCACAGGUAUCUUGCUGAGUUUAAGACUGGUGCUGAGAGGAAGGAAGCUGCCGAGAGCACUUUGUUGGCUUACAAGUCUGCUCAGGUGGGUCAAUUGCUGAUGCAGUCUUGUCAGUAUGAGUUAUUUUCUCUAUAAUUCCUUAAGCAUUUCUUUCACUGGAAAGAUUAAGAUAAAAUUUCUAAGCCUUUUUAUUUUGAUUUUUGUGAUGGCAGGAUAUUGCUCUUGCUGAGCUUGCUCCUACUCACCCAAUUAGGCUGGGACUUGCUCUUAACUUCUCUGUUUUCUACUAUGAAAUCCUCAACUCACCUGAUCGUGCCUGCAAUCUUGCAAAACAGGUGUUUAUUUUCUACUGAUUUGCUAUCAAUAUCUUUUCUUUUUAUUUAUUUGUCAUUGAUGUAGAACAGUUAAAAAAAGUAAACUCGUCUGGCUUUUUAUUGUCUUGGUAUGGUUCAUCUGUUUCAGAGGGCAUAGUAAAUUGUUUUAAUCUAAUUCUACCCCAACUGGAUUUAAUUGUGAUGGCCACUCCUUGUAUCCAAUAAGCUAGUUGCAAGUUUGAGGAGCCAAUUUGUUAACGCCUAAAAACUACUGUGCGAAUCUGGUUUGUACUAAUGGUACAGACAUUGAACUUAGGACAAAAAAGUUAAAUUGAUUACCCUAAAUAAACUCAUUUUGCUUAUGAAGUCUAAUUAUUACAUUAAGUUUUCCAUUUUCUAGUGUAGAAAAAGUCUGAACAGAAAUGUUAGAGAUUGCUUUUAUCCAUAAGAAGUCUGGUAAUGUUGUAAAUUGAUGUCCAUUUUACUGAGAUUUGUUAAUUUAAUUCUAUGUAUUAAGGCAUGACAAUUAGAUUGUUCUUAUGCGAAUUUCCAAAAUGUCUUCUCGAGGGCAUGAAUUGACUGUCUAAAGGUUGCUUGCAAACUAAAAUGGCAUGUUUUUCGUUUGGCAGGCUUUUGAUGAGGCUAUUUCUGAGUUGGAUACUUUGGGUGAGGAAUCUUACAAAGAUAGUACAUUGAUCAUGCAACUUCUCCGGGACAACCUGACCCUUUGGACAUCUGACAUCACGGUAUUCCCCCCCACACAAUAAGUUUGUGUUUGCACACAAUCAUGAAAUUUUCAUGCAGCUCUGCUGUCUCUAGACAUAAAAAAAAUCUUUAAAAUGCCACAUGGAUAUGAAAAAUGUCUAAAGUUAUAUUCCUGAGUGAACUUAGUUGCUUUCAUUGACAUGACUACAGUUCUCUACCAUGUUCUCUAAACUUCCUGGUAUGACAUCUCAUAGCUUAAUGUCAGGACUAAUAUCUCAGUUUCAGUUAAUCUCCGAGAUUAUCAGUGCUUCUUUACCUAUAUCAAGAAUGUUUCUUCACAGUAUACAUGUCAAACUCAUUUCACCUCAACAGAGUAGUUUCAGAACUAAUAUUCUGAUGUUAUUGUUGUUAACCUGGGGCUUUGUAUUAUCUCAUGGCUCAUGUUAAUUAUUUCAUUGAUCAACACUGGAUGUUCCUUUUUACCUGAUGAUGGAUUUUUUUGAAGUUCCUUAUUCAGAUGAUUUAUUGUAUUGUUCCUUGGUUUUAGGAUGAGGCUGGGGAUGAGAUCAAGGAAGCUUCAAAGCACGAGUCAGGCGAGGGACAGCAGUGAUAAGUUCAUAAAAAUUGUUCUCUGUACCUUAUAUUUGCAGGU